rnacentral:rRNA from 1 species
CCUACGGGAGGCAGCAGUGAGGAAUAUUGGUCAAUGGACGAGAGUCUGAACCAGCCAAGUAGCGUGAAGGAUGACUGCCCUAUGGGUUGUAAACUUCUUUUAUAUGGGAAUAAAAUGUUCCACGUGUGGGAUUUUGUAUGUACCAUAUGAAUAAGGAUCGGCUAACUCCGUGCCAGCAGCCGCGGUAAUACGGAGGUUCCGAGCGUUAUCCGGAUUUAUUGGGUUUAAAGGGAGCGUAGGUGGAUUGUUAAGUCAGUUGUGAAAGUUUGCGGCACAACCGUAAAAUUGCAGUUGAAACUGGCAGUCUUGAAUACAGUAGCGGUGGGCGGAAUGCGUGGUGUAGCGGUGAAAUGCUUAGAUAUCACGAAGAACUCCGAUUGCGAAGGCAGUUCACUGGACUGCAACUGACACUGAGGCUCGAAAGUGUGGGUAUCAAACAGGAUUAGAUACCCCGGUAGUC